rnacentral:misc_RNA from 1 species
GAUGAAGAACGCAGCGAAAUGCGAUAAGUAAUGUGAAUUGCAGAAUUCAGUGAAUCAUCGAAUCUUUGAACGCACAUUGCGCCCGCCAGUAUUCUGGCGGGCAUGCCUGUUCGAGCGUCAUUACAACCCUCAGGCCCCCGGGCCUGGCGUUGGGGAUCGGCGGAAGCCCCCUGCGGGCACAACGCCGUCCCCCAAAUACAGUGGCGGUCCCGCCGCAGCUUCCAUUGCGUAGUAGCUAACACCUCGCAACUGGAGAGCGGCGCGGCCACGCCGUAAAACACCCAACUUCUGAAUGUUGACCUCGAAUCAGGUAGGAAUACCAGCUGAACUUAAGCAUAUCAAUAAGCGGAGGA